rnacentral:rRNA from 1 species
UACGUAGGGUGCAAGCGUUAAUCGGAAUUACUGGGCGUAAAGCGUGCGCAGGCGGUUUUGUAAGUCUGUCGUGAAAUCCCCGGGCUCAACCUGGGAAUUGCGAUGGAGACUGCAAGGCUAGAAUCUGGCAGAGGGGGGUAGAAUUCCACGUGUGAGCAGUGAAAUGCGUAGAGAUGUGGAUGAACACCGAUGGCGAAGGCAGCCCCCUGGGUCAGAUUGACGCUCAUGCACGAAAGCGUGGGAGCAAACAGG